AUGUUCUUCUUUACUAUACUGCUGUUUACAGCACUUAAAGGUAAAAGUUUUGCAGAUGUUAUCACAUCAAGAAGAGAUCAUGUGUCCGCCACUGUCGGUGACAAAGUUACUCUCUCUUGUAACUUCAGCAGCAGUGGUUAUGUGUCAAGUCUUCAUUGGUAUCGUCAGUUUUUGGGUUCAGUGCCUCAGUUCCUCAUACUGGAGUACUCAGGGAAUGUAGUGACGGCUAAUCCUCCCAUCCAAGGGAUUUCCAUUAAACACAGGAAAGAAGCUCAGGUGGUGGAUCUGGAGAUCUCAUCUGUUAAAGUCACAGACUCUGCUCUGUAUUACUGCGCCCUGCAGCCCACAGUGACAGAAAACCCAUAA